UGAUUGGUUUUGCAGCAGAUAUACUAAAAUUGGAAUGAUACAGAGAAGACCAGCAUAGCUCCUGCACACACAGGGUGAUACACAAAUUUGUGAA
rnacentral:snRNA from 1 species